AUACCAUAGUGAUCGGGUCCUGGUCGAUCGAGGCUUGUUACCGAGCGCGACGGAGGAAGCGGAAACGUAAGUACGUAAUGUGCCGAAGCUUUCUCCAUCUUUCUGAGUGGUCAUAACGGGAAGUAAUGUCAACUGCCAUUAUGUCUGAAGGGAAGCCGUCUGGGUACAGGACCGCUCCAUUUGACUCGCGAUUUCCCAAUCAGAACCAAACAAGAUACUGUAACCAAAAUUAUAUAGAUUAUCAUCGAUGUAGGAAGAUUAAGGG